GACGAACGCUGGCGGCGUGCUUAACACAUGCAAGUCGAGCGGUAAGGCCCUUUCGGGGUACGACGAGCGGCGAACGGGUGAGUAACACGUGGGUGACCUGCCCUCAGCUCUGGGAUAAGCCUGGGAAACUGGGUCUAAUACUGGAUAUGACUCCACGGUGCAUGUCGUGGGGUGGAAAGCCUUGUGCGGCUGAGGAUGGGCCCGCGGCCUAUCAGCUUGUUGG
rnacentral:rRNA from 1 species